rnacentral:ncRNA from 2 species
AAAUAUCGCAAAGCAGUCGGAGCCGUUCUCCCCUUGGGGAACGGGUAAUAGGGAAACAGGUGCAAGGCCUGUACGAUCUCGUCACUGUAUGUAAUGAGCGCGCUGUCUCAGUCGAAACAGGACAGCCACUGGCGAAAGCCGGGAAGGCGAUGGCGCGCGAUGAUUUACGAGUCAGGAAACCUGCCGCCUGCUGGUACAGGAA